AUACGGAGGGUGCAAGCGUUGUUCGGAAUUAUUGGGCGUAAAGCGCGUGUAGGCGGCUUGGUAAGUCAGGUGUGAAAGCCCUUAGCUCAACUAAGGAAAGUCAUCUGAAACUGCCAGGCUUGAGUACGGGAGAGGAGAGUGGAAUUCCCGGUGUAGAGGUGAAAUUCGUAGAUAUCGGGAGGAACACCCGUGGCGAAGGCGACUAUCUGGACCGAUACUGACGCUGAGACGCGAAAGCGUGGGGAGCAAACAGGAUUAGAAACCCCGGUAGUCC
rnacentral:rRNA from 1 species